rnacentral:lncRNA from 1 species
CUUUCCUAAACAUACAUUUCUCCUUCGUGGUUUCGAGACUUGUUUGCUCGAUUAGCUGAAUAAAGUUUGAUUUGUACGUUUUCUUUGUAUUAGGCAUGUUUAAGAACUAGAUUUUCCAGGAACUGAGGGCGUGGAGUAGCUACAGGCAUGAGAGGCCCAUGGCGCUCUGCAGGUGGAUGUCGAGCUGAGAGCCUCAGAAGGGGGCAGGAUUUAGCGUGCAGCAGAACUUGGUGCAGAUUCCGGAAGGACUGUGUCCAGGGUAGGACUGGUCUGGUCCCACGUAGCCUCUGAGCUAGGAGGUAAGGCCGUUUCGGGGCGACCUGCCUGUGUUCACAAGAAGUGAGAUCCUUUUUGGCCAAAGAGGACAACAGCCAGAGCACGGAGACUGUUCAUUCCUAAUGCCCCAAACAGGACCCAAGCAACAAGACCGCAGAGAAGCCAAAUCACGAGUGAGCUGAGCGACUUCAAAAUGAGUUCAAUCAGUAUCAAAACUAUAGAGACUCUGAUCAAAGAAGUGAGAUGCACAAAAUUACUUACGUGAGACCCGAGAAUCAGAAGUCCGAGUAGCUGGAGUUUGAGCCAGCAGGUGGGCCAAUAGUGGGGUGUGGCCAGCAGGAAGGGGGUGCAGAGGACAGGUCACAGGAGCAGAGUGCUGUGAGACCUGUGGCCUCAAGUGCAAUUCUCCAGGAGGGUGGUGGACAUGCAGGAGUGGACAUGCCCCAGCCCUUCCCUGCUUGCCCCUGCCUCCUGGUCACCAGGGGUUGAGCAGAUGUCUUCCACCAAACCCUCUGCCAUGAUGCUCUGCCCAUCACAAGCCAGGAGUCAAGAGCCAGCCGACCCUGGACUGAACCUCUGAAACCAGGAACCCAAAUCCACCUUUCCUGCUUUAUGUUUUUUUCUCAUUUAUUUUGUCAGAGCAAUGAAAAGCUAACACGCAUCUUUGAAGUGCUGAAGAAAAUGACUGCCAAUCCAGGCUCAAACCUAGUGAGAAUGUCCUCGUAAGAAUCCAUGUUGAUUGUCGUCUCCAGCUACAGUAAAGGACACACACGAUGUUCUCCAGGGGAAAGGAAGCAGGCCUGGAGGGAGAAAGAGGACCUUCAGAACGUGGCCUCGGUGUUGAUGCUAAAUCACCACUCAUGGCUACAGAAGGUAUAACUGAGACGUUGAUAUGUAGAGAAUUAAGAUAUUGUAGGUGAUUACAUGGUGGGUAGUCAAGGGAGUCAAUUUACCACAGGAUUCUGUAUUGUCCGGAAUGUGGCCGAGUAACUAAGGACGU